rnacentral:rRNA from 1 species
GAUGAACGCUGGCGGCGUGCCUAAUACAUGCAAGUAGAACGCUGAAGGAAGGAGCUUGCUCUUUCCGGAUGAGUUGCGAACGGGUGAGUAACGCGUAGGUAACCUGCCUGGUAGCGGGGGAUAACUAUUGGAAACGAUAGCUAAUACCGCAUAACAGUAGAUGUUGCAUGAUAUCUACUUAAAAGGUGCAAUUGCCCCACUACCAGAUGGACCUGCGUUGUAUUAGCUAGUUGGUGAGGUAACGGCUCACCAAGGCGACGAUACAUAGCCGACCUGAGAGGGUGAUCGGCCACACUGGGACUGAGACACGGCCCAGACUCCUACGGGAGGCAGCAGUAGGGAAUCUUCGGCAAUGGACGGAAGUCUGACCGAGCAACGCCGCGUGAGUGAAGAAGGUUUUCGGAUCGUAAAGAUCUGUUGUAAGAGAAGAACGAGUGUGAGAGUGGAAAGUUCACACUGUGACGGUAUCUUACCAGAAAGGGACGGCUAACUACGUG